rnacentral:misc_RNA from 1 species
CGCCCAGCCAAGUUCAUGCACCUCUUCCUUUCACUCUUUCUAAUCAUAUAUAAACGAAUCCACUCAUCUUCUUCAUUCUAUCGUAUCUCUCGUUCAAACCCCAAAACCUCUCUCUCUCUCUCUCCUCCCUUUUCCUUUUAAAAGCUCACUUUUUUAUUGUCAUGGAAGCAAUGAACGUGUGUUCUACUUCUUCAGAAUCUUCUUCUUCCGAGUCUUCUUUUAAUGGCGAUUCUACACCAAGAAACGCAAACAAACAGGAGCGGAUCAAAGGUCCGUGGAGUGCAGAGGAGGAUCGGAUUCUUACCCGCCUUGUUGAGCGACACGGGCCCAGAAAUUGGUCCCUAAUAAGCCGAUACAUUAAGGGGCGAUCGGGUAAAUCUUGUAGGCUCAGAUGGUGCAAUCAGCUAAGCCCAAACGUGGAGCACCGUCCGUUUUCUCCAGCUGAAGAUGAGACCAUUUUGGCCGCCCAUGCUAGGUACGGUAACCGGUGGGCCACCAUUGCCCGUUUGCUGCCGGGUCGAACUGAUAAUGCUGUGAAGAACCAUUGGAACUCGACGUUGAAGAGAAGGGCAAGGGAACAGCAGCAUCUAAUGAUGAUGGAGGGUAAUAUUGAUAACAGCAACACUAAUGAAGGAGCUGUUGCAGCAGCUGCAGCAUCAGGUUCUACACCGCGCAUGGCACAAGCAGUAGAAGAAGAGGAAGCGUUGACGGCGUUGACUCUGGCUCCGCCGGGGUUUGGUGGCGGUGGUGGGAUUUGUAGCAAUAGUAGUGGAAUGGAGGCAGAGAGGAGGGGGGAUCGUUUGCCAGCUGGGUUUUGGGAUGUGAUGAGGAAUGUGAUAGCGAGGGAAGUGCGAGAGUAUAUGAGUUCUACUGUAAAUGAGACUACUUGGGGUUUUCAUUAGCUGAAAGAAACAAACAACUGUGGUGUUGUUUUGGUUGGGGUUUAAUUAAUUUCAUGUUUGUUAAUAGGAAAAAUUUUCUAUUAUUAUUAUUAUUUCCAAUCCUUUUUUUCAACUUGAGAAUGCAAAGAUUACGUGGCCCUGAACUCUAGGGCUUGGACAACUUUUUUACUUCAUGUUAUAGCCUGUCACCAAUGGGAAAGGAGAAUGAAUUGAUUUAAUAUGGA